AUCCUGGCUCAGGACGAACGCUGGCGGCGUGCCUAAUACAUGCAAGUCGAACGCGUCUUGGUUAUUGAUGUUAAGUGCUUGCAUUUAACUGAUUUAACAUUGAGACGAGUGGCGAACUGGUGAGUAACACGUGGGUAACCUGCCCUUGAAGUAGGGGAUAACACUUGGAAACAGGUGCUAAUACCGUAUAACAACCAAAACCACCUGGUUUUGGUUUAAAAGAUGGCUUCGGCUAUCACUUUAGGAUGGACCCGCGGCGUAUUAGCUUGUUGGUAAGGUAACGGCCUACCAAGGCAAUGAUACGUAGCCGACCUGAGAGGGUAAUCGGCCACAUUGGGACUGAGACACGGCCCAAACUCCUACGGGAGGCAGCAGUAGGGAAUCUUCCACAAUGGACGAAAGUCUGAUGGAGCAACGCCGCGUGAGUGAUGAAGGGUUUCGGCUCGUAAAACUCUGUUGUUGGAGAAGAACAGGUGUGAGAGUAACUGUUCACAUCUUGACGGUAUCCAACCAGAAAGCCACGGCUAACUACGUGCCAGCAGCCGCGGUAAUACGUAGGUGGCAAGCGUUGUCCGGAUUUAUUGGGCGUAAAGCGAGCGCAGGCGGUUUCUUAGGUCUGAUGUGAAAGCCUUCGGCUUAACCGGAGAAGUGCAUCGGAAACCAGGAGACUUGAGUGCAGAAGAGGACAGUGGAACUCCAUGUGUACGGUGAAAUGCGUAGAUAUAUGGAAGAACACCAGUGGCGAAGGCGGCUGUCUGGUCUGUAACUGACGCUGAGGCUCGAAAGCAUGGGUAGCGAACAGGAUUAGAUACCCUGGUAGUCCAUGCCGUAAACGAUGAGUGCUAAGUGUUGGAGGGUUUCCGCCCUUCAGUGCUGCAGCUAACGCAUUAAGCACUCCGCCUGGGGAGUACGACCGCAAGGUUGAAACUCAAAGGAAUUGACGGGGGCCCGCACAAGCGGUGGAGCAUGUGGUUUAAUUCGAUGCUACGCGAAGAACCUUACCAGGUCUUGACAUCUUCUGCCAACCUAAGAGAUUAGGCGUUCCCUUCGGGGACAGAAUGACAGGUGGUGCAUGGUUGUCGUCAGCUCGUGUCGUGAGAUGUUGGGUUAAGUCCCGCAACGAGCGCAACCCUUAUUGUUAGUUGCCAGCAUUCAGUUGGGCACUCUAGCAAGACUGCCGGUGACAAACCGGAGGAAGGUGGGGAUGACGUCAAAUCAU
rnacentral:rRNA from 2 species